UACGGAGAGGGCUAGCGUUGUUCGGAUUUACUGGGCGUAAAGGGCAUGUAGGUGUCCCGAUAAGCUCUGGGUGAAAUCUCCGCGCUCAACGCGGAAAAGAAUCAGAGAACUAUCGGGAUUGAGUUCAGAAGAAGAGAGUGGAAUUCUCGGUGUAGCGGUGAAAUGCGUAGAUAUCGAGAAGAACACCAGCGGCGAAGGCGGCUCUCUAUUCUGAAACUGACACUCAAAUGCGAAAGCGUGGGGAGCGAAUGGGAUUAGAUACCCCCGUA
rnacentral:rRNA from 1 species